CCUGGUGGCUCAGAUGGUAGAGGGUCUGACUGCAAAGCAGGAGACCCGGGUUCAAUCCCUGGGUCAGGA
rnacentral:tRNA from 1 species